rnacentral:rRNA from 1 species
AUAGCAAUUAUACCGUGAAACUGCGAAUGGCUCAUUAAAUCAGUUAUCGUUUAUUUGAUAAUACCUUACUACUUGGAUAACCGUGGUAAUUCUAGAGCUAAUACAUGCUGAAAAUCCCGACUUCGGAAGGGAUGUGUUUAUUAGAUAAAAAACCAAUGCCCUUCGGGGCUUUUUGGUGAUUCAUGAUAACUUUACGGAUCGCAUAGCCUUGCGCUGGCGACGGUUCAUUCAAAUUUCUGCCCUAUCAACUUUCGAUGGUAAGGUAUUGGCUUACCAUGGUUUCAACGGGUAACGGGGAAUUAGGGUUCGAUUCCGGAGAGGGAGCCUGAGAAACGGCUACCACAUCCAAGGAAGGCAGCAGGCGCGCAAAUUACCCAAUCCCGACACGGGGAGGUAGUGACAAUAAAUACUGAUACAGGGCUCUUUUGGGUCUUGUAAUUGGAAUGAGUACAAUUUAAACCUCUUAACGAGGAACAAUUGGAGGGCAAGUCUGGGC